GAUGAACGCUGGCGGCGUGCCUAAUACAUGCAAGUCGAGCGAAAAGACGCGGCGCUUGCUCCUCUGACGUUAGCCGAGGACGGGAGAGUCACGCGUGUAUCACCUACCUGUAAGACUGGGAUAACCUCGGGACACCGGCGCAAAUACCGUAGAAUAUAUUGCACCGCAUGGUUCAAUAGUGAAAGACGGUUUUUCUGUCUGUUCUAGAUGCUUCUCCGCCGGAUGAGGUAGUUGGUAAGGUAACGGCUUACCAAGGCAACGAUGCGUAGCCGACGUGCGGGGGUGAUCGGCCACACUGGAAGGUGGACAGGGACAAGACUCCUACGGGACGCAGCAGUAGGGAAUGUGACGCAGUGGGCGAAAGCCUGACGCAGCAACGCCGAGUGAGUGAUGAAGGUCUUCGGUGCGUAAUACUCUGUUAUUAGGGAAGAACAAAUGUGUAAGGAAAUAAGCACGGAGUGACGGUAACGAAUCAGGAAGCAACGGCUAACUACGUG
rnacentral:rRNA from 1 species